rfam:Solanum tuberosum cultivar DM 1-3 516 R44 scf00076_51, whole genome shotgun sequence.
GAGCCGUGAGGAGAUAUAUGCGUCUUAUGCGGUGAUUUGGGUCUCCGCAAUUGUCUGAUUCUAAGACGAUUCAAUAGCGCAUCUGAGCUC